rnacentral:rRNA from 1 species
AUACGUAGGAGGCGAGCGUUAUCCGGAUUCAUUGGGCGUAAAGGGCGUGCAGGUGGUUUGGUAAGUUGGGUAUGAAAUCUCCUGGCUUAACUAGGAGAGGUUGCUCAAAACUACCAGACUAGAGGACGGUAGAGGGAGGUGGAAUUCCCGGUGUAGUAGUGAAAUGCGUAGAUAUCGGGAGGAACACCAGAGGCGAAGGCGGCCUCCUGGGCCGUUCCUGACACUAAGACGCGAAAGCAUGGGGAGCGAACGGGAUUAGAAACCCCGGUAGUCCAUGCCGUAAACGAUGUGGACUUGAUGUCGGCAGCGUAAUAGUUGUCGGUGUCGUAGUUAACGCGAUAAGUCCACCGCCUGGGGAGUACGAUCGCAAGGUUAAA